AUUCAACUGACAAGUCCCAAACAGGACGAAACGCGCGUCAAGGUU
rfam:Schistosoma margrebowiei strain Zambia genome assembly, scaffold: SMRZ_contig0003741